GAUGAACGCUGGCGGCGUGCCUAAUACAUGCAAGUCGAGCGAACAGAUAAGGAGCUUGCUCCUUUGACGUUAGCGGCGGACGGGUGAGUAACACGUGGGUAACCUACCUAUAAGACUGGGAUAACUUCGGGAAACCGGAGCUAAUACCGGAUAAUAUUUCGAACCGCAUGGUUCGAUAGUGAAAGAUGGUUUUGCUAUCACUUAUAGAUGGACCCGCGCCGUAUUGGCUAGUUGGUAAGGUAACGGCUUACCAAGGCGACGAUACGUAGCCGACCUGAGAGGGUGAUCGGCCACACUGGAACUGAGACACGGUCCAGACUCCUACGGGAGGCAGCAGUAGGGAAUCUUCCGCAAUGGGCGAAAGCCUGACGGAGCAACGCCGCGUGAGUGAUGAAGGUCUUCGGAUCGUAAAACUCUGUUAUUAGGGAAGAACAUACGUGUAAGUAACUGUGCACGUCUUGACGGUACCUAAUCAGAAAGCCACGGCUAACUACGUG
rnacentral:rRNA from 1 species